rnacentral:ncRNA from 1 species
UACCUGGUUGAUCCUGCCAGUAGUCAUAUGCUUGUCUCAAAGAUUAAGCCAUGCAAGUCUAAGUACGAGCUCUCGUACAGUGAAACUGCGAAUGGCUCAUUAAAUCAGUUAUGGUUCAUUUGAUCGUACAGUUUACUUGGAUAACUGUGGUAAUUCUAGAGCUAAUACAUGCGAGAAGCGCCGACCUCGCGGGAGGCGUGCAUUUAUCAGACCAAAAACCGGCCGCGUCUUCGGGCGCGUUCGCCUUGGUGACUCUGGAUAACUUUGCGGAUCGCACGGUCUAGCACCGGCGACGGAUCAUUCAAGUGUCUGCCCUAUCAACUUUCGUCGGUACGGUAUUUGCCUACCGAGGUUCUUACGGGUGACGGGGAAUCAGGGUUCGAUUCCGGAGAGGGAGCCUGAGAAACGGCUACCACAUCCAAGGAAGGCAGCAGGCGCGCAAAUUACCCAUUCCCCGACGCGGGGAGGUAGUGACGAAAAAUAACAAUGCAGGACUCGUUCGAGGCCCUGUAAUUGGAAUGAGUACACUUUAAAAGCUUUAACGAGUAUCCAUUGGAGGGCAAGUCUGGUGCCAGCAGCCGCGGUAAUUCCAGCUCCAAAAGUAUAUAUUUAAGUUGUUGCGGUUAAAAAGCUCGUAGUUGGAUUUUGGGCGCAGGCGGCCGGUCCGUCGCAAGGCGUGUACUGGACGUCCUGGCCUUCCCUCCGGUUCUCCGCCGGUGCUCCUGACUGAGUGUCGGCGGCGGCCGGAACGUUUACUUUGAAAAUAUUAGAGUGUUCAAAGCAGGCUCUCGAGCCUGGAUAAUGGUGCAUGGAAUAAUGGAAUAGGACCUCGGUUCUAUUUUGUUGGUUUUCCGAGCGCGAGGUAAUGAUUAAGAGGGACAGACGGGGGCAUUCGUACUGUGCCGUUAGAGGUGAAAUUCUUGGAUCGGCGCAAGACGAACGACUGCGAAAGCA